rnacentral:misc_RNA from 1 species
AAAAAAAAUUGAUGAGAAACUACUCGGCGAAUCCGAGACAUCGAGGGAAAUUGAACCUAAAAUGAGAGAAAUUUUCUCUCUCUUCAAACAAAGAGAGUUCUUCUGAUUUCCCCUGCCUUUAGGCAGAGUGAAGGCUUCUACUUUUGGUUUUCAGCAUGGACUUGUGGGAGUGCUCUUCCCAUACGAAGAUAAGUUGUAUAUUCUGCUUUUGAUUGUGUUCGAUUUCGUUUGCAUGUUGGUUUGUGCUUCAACGAAAGGCUUUCUGAGUGAAGACCUUUGUGUGUUGUGUUGUUUGUGCUUGAGCUGAACAAAUCGACAAUGGGAGGAGAUCAGAUGGCUCUGCUAGGGAGUUUCAAAGGUCUUUGCUUUCCAUCUGCAAGGGGUUGGGUUUUAGACCUAACGGUUGGUGCUGGUUCAAUUCAAGCAAGUUUGCUCCAUGUGGUUGAGAGGGCUUCUUUAGAUCUAGCUAUUUAGCAUCUUCGGGAUUUGCUUAUACACUACGUUGGGAAGGCUAUCCUGCUUGGCUUAUAAGUGCAUUGAGCUCUACAACUACACCCUUUCACGAUAUGGAGUUAAGCAUGCUACCUCUCUGGAAAUUUUGGAGGCUUACUUUAAUUAAUAGUUAUGGUGUGCAAAGAAGAGUGGCUAUGGUAGCGCCUUAUAUUGCGGGGUUGCGUUGUUUGGCUCCAAUCUCUACUCGGUUUUUCUGUGGUUGGCAACUUAGGCAGGAGAUGGCAAUAUGGUUUAUAAUUCUUAAGUUUCUUUUCUGUUUGGGAAGGGUAUGAUAAUAUUAUAAUAUUAUAAUAUGAGAAAUUUAUAAAUUUAAUUGAAUUUGUUAACAAGCCGAGUUUGAG